rnacentral:rRNA from 1 species
GACGAACGCUGGCGGCGUGCCUAAUGCAUGCAAGUCGAACGAGAGCAACCGGUGCUUGCACUGGUCAUUCUAGUGGCGAACGGGUGAGUAACACGUGGGUAACCUGCCCAUCAGAGGGGGAUAACAUCCGGAAACGGAUGCUAAAACCGCAUAGGUCUUCGAACCGCAUGGUUUGAAGAGGAAAAGAGGCGCAAGCUUCUGCUGAUGGAUGGACCCGCGGUGCAUUAGCUAGUUGGUGAGGUAACGGCUCACCAAGGCCGUGAUGCAUAGCCGACCUGAGAGGGUGAUCGGCCACAUUGGGACUGAGACACGGCCCAAACUCCUACGGGAGGCAGCAGUAGGGAAUCUUCCGCAAUGGACGCAAGUCUGACGGAGCAACGCCGCGUGAGUGAAGAAGGUUUUCGGAUCGUAAAACUCUGUUGUUAGAGAAGAACAAGUGCUAGAGUAACUGUUAGCGCCUUGACGGUAUCUAACCAGAAAGCCACGGCUAACUACGUG